rnacentral:rRNA from 1 species
AUUGAACGCUGGCGGCAUGCUUUACACAUGCAAGUCGAACGGUAACAGGCCUUCGGGUGCUGACGAGUGGCGAACGGGUGAGUAAUGCAUCGGAACGUACCCAGAGGUGGGGGAUAACGCAGCGAAAGCUGUGCUAAUACCGCAUGUGAUCUGAGGAUGAAAGCGGGGGACCGAGCAGCAAUGUUUGGCCUCGCGCCUUUGGAGCGGCCGAUGUCGGAUUAGCUAGUUGGUGGGGUAAAGGCCUACCAAGGCGACGAUCCGUAGCUGGUCUGAGAGGACGACCAGCCACACUGGGACUGAGACACGGCCCAGACUCCUACGGGAGGCAGCAGUGGGGAAUUUUGGACAAUGGGCGCAAGCCUGAUCCAGCAAUGCCGCGUGCGGGAAGAAGGCCUUCGGGUUGUAAUCCGCUUUUGGCAGGAACGAAACGGUGUCCGCUAAUACCGGGCGCUAAUGACGGUACCUGCAGAAUAAGCACCGGCUAACUACGUG